rnacentral:rRNA from 1 species
CGGUGCGAUCCUUCCAGCACUAAUGUACCAGAUUCCAUCAGAACUCCGAAGUUAAGCGUGCUUGGGCGAGAGUAGUACUAGGAUGGGUGACCUCCUGGGAAGUCCUCGUGUUGCACCCC